UGCACUCCACUCCCUGUAUAAUUCCCCAAUGUGGCCAGUUGAAAAACCAGACAGGAGGUGGAGCUUAACCAUACGCUAUAGAAAGUUAAAUGCAAAUACGCCUCCUUUUACGGCCACCAUCCAAACAUUGGUACAUUAACCACCACCAAGGUGCUGCUCACCCCUGGAUGGCAGAACUAGAUGUAAAAGGUAUGGUCUUUAUGGUGCCGCUGCAGGAGGAGGAUAAAAGAAAACUUGCUUUUACCUGGGAUGGCAUACAAUUUACUUUAAACAGACUUCCUCAGGGCUAUAAGCAUUCACCCACUAUAGCUCAGUGGAACUGAAUGUGGCAUUAGUGCUGGGUGGAUGUACCCCACCUAUGAAAUAAAAGGGGUAACCAGCCUGAAGUCACUCCUCCGAGACUUGUGUUAUUUUCUUUUUCCAGGAAUAAUACCGGGAUUGAUACCAGAAUGCCUCCCUUGGAGAUCGAAUUGAUCAUGGGAGGAAUAUUCAUCUCUCACAUGGGAACAAUCAUCGCUAGUAUAGACCAUUUCCGAUUCGCACAUCAACAAGCCUGAUGCAUAGGGUGGAGGCCCUCAUUUCUUUUAUUUGCGCUAAUCAAUACAGCCCCAGUGACCUCAUACGUGCCGUUAAAGGAAGAUUACACACUGCAUUGAGACCUUUUACCUUCCCCCAUUAGGAUGGACUUGACGCUGUUUCACAAGCUUCUGGCACAUAGAGACUUACCAGCCUUAUUGUGAAAGACACAACAACAAAGCAAAACCACAUUGAUAAGGGUACAUCACAAUGGAGAAGAAAUGCACCACAUACUGGAAAGAGGGAAGAAGGACGGGGAACACCACUGGUGAGAAACCCUAUUAGGAUGGUUUCCAGUGGCAAUGGGUGUAUGGAACGCCAUAUUACAUCCCGUGAUAAUAAGAAUAUAUUGCUACUGAUCAUGUGAAACUGUCUGAUUCGGCAUCUGAUAUCUAGAACAAAAGCCAAUGCCAGCCGGCUCCAAGAUGGAUCCGCCCCUGGCCUAGGCCAAGCCAAUCAGCGCCUCUGUGAUAACAUAAUUAAGAAGGAAAAACAAAACAGUUGAAAAAGCUUUUGCAACCAGAGAGAGGAGUGAGAAGAUGUAAGAAACUCUGCAGACACCAAGGUCAGUGAGGAAGGAGGGGGAGGAGGCGCUCCAGACACCAGAGCAAAGAUCCCCCUGCAGCCCGUGGUGAAAACCAUGGUGAGGCAAGCUGUCCCCUGCAGCCCAUGGAGGAAGGAUGAGGGGGUGUAGAGAUUCCACCUGCAGCCCGUGGAG